AAAUGAAUUGACGGGGGCCCGCACAAGCGGUGGAGUAUGUGGUUUAAUUCGAAGCAACGCGAAAAACCUUACCAGCUUUUGACAUGGGGAUUUUGGAUACGAGAGAUUGUAUUCUUCGGUUCGGCCGGAUCCCACACAGGUGCUGCAUGGCUGUCGUCAGCUCGUGUCGUGAGAUGUUGGGUUAAGUCCCGCAACGAGCGCAACCCUCAUCAUUAGUUGCCAUCAGGUCUGGCUGGGCACUCUAAUGAAACUGCCGGUGAUAAACCGGAGGAAGGUGGGGAUGACGUCAAGUCCUCAUGGCCCUUAUGGGCUGGGCUACACACGUACUACAAUGGUGGUUACAAAGGGCAGCGAAGGGGGAACCUGGAGCAAAUCCUAAAAAACCAUCUCAGUUCGGAUUGUCUUCUGCAACUCGAAGGCAUGAAGUCGGAAUCGCUAGUAAUCGUAGAUCAGCAUGCUACGGUGAAUACGUUCUCGGGCCUUGUACACACCGCCCGU
rnacentral:rRNA from 1 species